ACGACCUUACUUGAACAGGAUCUGUUCUAUAGGGAAGUACCUCUGUAUCCUUGAGUAAAAAGGAGACGGUAACCAAAACCUGGUCGAUGAAUCAGGACCGUGCGAUCAGAGCGUGAUUAAUGGCUGGUGAACCAUGUGAUGGGUUCUCUGGCUGUAGAGGAUCGUUCUCAGCUGCCCCUGUGGUUGGCUGAGAUGGUCGUGCGGUUGUCUGACAGGUU